GCGCAGGAGGUGGAUAGCAGGUGGGCCUAGUCUCGAGGUCUUUCCCCUCUCCUGUUGCACCCCGAGCCGAGAUGUCGCAGUACCAGACCUGGGAGGAGUUCAGCUGCGCUGCCGAGAAGCUCUAUCUUGCCAACCCCAUGAAGGCACGUGUGGUACUCAAAUACAGGCAUUCGGAUGGGAGUUUGUGUAUGAAAGUGACAGAUGAUUUAGUUUGUUUGAUGUAUAGAACAGACCAAGCUCAAGAUGUUAAGAAGAUUGAGAAAUUCCACAGUCAGCUAAUGCGACUUAUGGUAGCCAAGGAAUCCCGAAUGUUACCAUGGACACAGAAUGACUGGUUUGAAAGGAAGAUUCUGUUUGUCAUGUUCUUAGGAAGUAAAUAUCUUUUGAAUUUGAGAAAAUGUCAGAACAGAAAAUACUGUGUGUAACGAAGUGGACUAUUCAAAAACCAAGAGAUCAUUUUUUGUAUUUUCUUGUUAAUGUUUACUUUAGAGAGCUAGAAAUGUAAAUGCUUUCAAUUAGAAAGCCUUUAUUUUUGGAAAUUGAACAAGAAUUAUAUCUAUCUUGGAAACUUGUGGAUUUGAUGUUGGGUAAAAUAUAUAAUUAUUUGAUAAAUUUGUAUCAGUAAUUUGAAAAUGAGAUAUCAAGAAACACCAGUUCUUACAUCAAUUUACUUGAUCAGUCUUUGGAGAAUAAAAUUUGUGCUGUUGAUGACCAAUAAAUAUAAAAUAUGGUAACUAGAAUUAACCGUGCACCAUAAUAUGCCUGACCGUGUAUAGCAGUGUAGUCCUUAUACCUGAAAAAGUAAUUAUGAAUAACAAGUAUGCUUUUUUUUAACCUUUCUAGCUUUAAGCUGUAAUUUGUAGUGUAAGGGAUUUAUAGUAUCAUCAGCUUGUUGAGCAAUAACAAACUUAGCAAAAUCUGGCUUUCAGUACUUAAAAACAACAGCAGUUAUUUGAAUGCAUGAAAGGAAUGAUGAUCACUGUAAUGUACUGAAACCACCACAUUACACAAGUAUUUACUACAUAUUUCUCAUAGUUUCUCAGAAGGGCUAAAGAUUAUUUGAACCAUAAAAUCUUCCCAUACCUCUAUGACACCCCCUGCUCCUUUUUUCUCUCUACUUAACCUAGGUAUUAAACGACUGUCACCAACUGUUCGUUAUACAUGUAUUUUCUGGUAAACUAGAAGUGUGAUGUGUAUUAUUUGAUAUUUUUCUUAUAUUUGUAAGCUGACUUUUAGCACCUAAAUGUAAUGGUCAUAUGUUGAUUCUUCACUAUUAAAAUGAAUAACUUUAAUCCUAAAAAAAAAA